rnacentral:rRNA from 1 species
GGUUAAGCGACUAAGCGUACACGGUGGAUGCCCUGGCAGUCAGAGGCGAUGAAGGGCGUGCUAAUCUGCGAUAAGCGCCGGUAAGGUGAUAUGAACCGUUAUAACCGGCGAUACCCGAAUGGGGAAACCCAGUGUGACUCGUCACACUAUCAUUAACUGAAUCCAUAGGUUAAUGAGGCGAACCGGGGG